AGAUUGAGAGAGAGCAGGAGACAAAAGUAGUAUUUUCUUCGUCCUCCUGGGCUGGCAGCAGGGUUUUCCCCCAGCGCCACUUACUCCUGGCAGCCCUAACCCUGGGUGCCAGAGCGGCCAAGGCCCAGGCCAGGACCUACGGACUGAUGGACGCCAGAACCCAGGAGGUCCAUGGGCCUGUCCGACAGAGGCUGGCACCUGGGCAUGGCCUGCUGGCUGGCAGGAGCCCCCUUACCUAGCCUGGGCAAGGGAGACAUCAUUUUCACUUGCUGGCUUUUGAGAAAGUGACCCUGUCCUCCUGUUCCUGGUUCAUACCUGUUGGUGGAGAUGUUAGAGAGGAGUGGAGAUAAAAACUUGAUGAAGUCCGACACAGCUGGCUGGGAGUGAACCUGGAUGCUCCUAAGGACCCCCCAGGAAAGUAAGCACCUGGCAUGUGUAUCAGAAGACCCCCUAUGGCCUCACACACAGGCACCGGCUUCUUCUUGACAACUUCCCUGGGUGACUCUUAGAACUCAAUGGCCACGUCCAGCUCAGAGAUCAGAAGCAGCGCGCGUCCCAGAGCGCUACCAUAAUGAUGCCGUCCAGGUCCACAGUACAACCGGCUGCCUUGGUCAUUGCCGUAAUGACAGUACAUUCCAACUUCUCAAGGUGGUCAGGAAGUGGAACCAAGCAGGAAGUUCUGCAUGCCUAUGGCUUCCCUGUGGAGGGACCUCAAGAAGCCACAACAUCCAGCUCUACGCCAAGACUGACUGACGGCCUUUGGGGUGAGGUAGUAGGUUGUAUGGUUUUGGGCUCUGCCCCGCUCUGCGGUAACUAUACAAUCUACUGUCUUUCCUGAAGUGGCCGCAAUAUCUGCAGUGGAUACAACGGCGGCCCUGGCUGGGGAGACUGAGGGAGGGACAGGGGGGUGAUAACUACCAUGCAAAAAGAGCCUGACAGAGACCUUGGAUAGUCCCUUGACCUCUCUGGGCUGUUACUCAUCUGUAUAAGGGUUGGGGCAUAGCGAUGAAAACAGACAGCAUUUUCAGGGCACCUUCUCUCCCUGGCCCACACUGAAGGGGCCUUCCUGCCCCUGGCCCCAUAUCAGACCUGUGCUCACAGGUCUCCAUGAAAAGAGGGUCUGGACUAGACCUUCAACUAUGUUCCAGAGUUGCCCAGGCUUUCCAGCGCAGGGUCAGGCCUCUGACGAGCAAGCGUCUCUUCCGAGAAGAAAUUGAAAAGGAGCCAUUCUUAGCACACCCAUGAGUACAGCCUGCAGAUGGACCGUGUAGGCCACUGUCCCCUGUCCCUGGGGCAAUGGGUUCAGACACCAGAGGCUUCCUCAAUCUGUUUGGUAGGCACAGGCCUUUCUCACUGAACCUCUGUCUCCACUUCCCCCUCCCCCACCCCGCCCUGUGCCCUAUGGCUCUAGUGGCCUGUGGCCAGGGUGGGUGGGGAGCGGCUGGGCCUCCUCCAGAACACGGACACCGCAGGGUGAGGUAGUAGGUUGUGUGGUUUCAGGGCAGUGAUGUUGCCCCUCCGAAGAUAACUAUACAACCUACUGCCUUCCCUGAGGCGCCCAGGGACACAGCUACAUGGAGGCCCCCGCUCAGCAAGCUAAAUGGAGCCACAGAUUGGGUGGGGGCUAUGACGUGGGACCUGGGUAUAAAUAAAGGAUGUUCUGUCAUGAACUUA
rnacentral:lncRNA from 1 species